rnacentral:rRNA from 1 species
GUGGGGAAUUUUGGACAAUGGGCGCAAGCCUGAUCCAGCAAUGCCGCGUGCAGGAAGAAGGCCUUCGGGUUGUAAACUGCUUUUGUACGGAACGAAACGGUCCGGGUUAAUACCCUGGGCUAAUGACGGUACCGUAAGAAUAAGCACCGGCUAACUACGUGCCAGCAGCCGCGGUAAUACGUAGGGUGCAAGCGUUAAUCGGAAUUACUGGGCGUAAAGCGUGCGCAGGCGGUUUUGUAAGACAGGCGUGAAAUCCCCGGGCUCAACCUGGGAAUUGCGAUUGUGACUGCAAGGCUGGAGUGCGGCAGAGGGGGAUGGAAUUCCGCGUGUAGCAGUGAAAUGCGUAGAUAUGCGGAGGAACACCGAUGGCGAAGGCAAUCCCCUGGGCCUGCACUGACGCUCAUGCACGAAAGCGUGGGGAGCAAACAGGAUUAGAUACCCCUGUAGUCC